rnacentral:piRNA from 1 species
CAUUGAGAAGGCAUGUGCGGACGAUGG